CGUGGGAUCAUCGCCCCCCACAUCGCGCAGGAUUUCCCAUUGCCGACCCCAAGGAAGCUUUGAGGAAGAGGAAGAUGCCCAGGGACACUGAGGCAGAGCAGGAGCUGAGCAUGGAGAGCAGGGAGGACAAAUGCCUGUGGCAGAACCUGGUGGAAGAGGC